AUCUAAUAAGUGGGUAGAUGGGGGGGAAAUAUGUGUCUGGGAGACAGAAUACCAGGAACAUUUGGAAGGUGCAGAUUUCUGGAGAAAGACAACAAGGUAGUGUCCAGCAUAGCAGAGGAGGCAGGUAUACAGGAUUUGGGGUCAUGCGUCCUGGGCUUGAAUGUGGCCUCUGACCCUUCCUCAGCCCAUCCCAUAGGCUCAUCAGUUUGUCAGGGGAUCCUCAUUCCAAUCUAGGAGGGUCCUCGGAAUAGAUCAAGUCCACCUCCUGCUCCUCAAUUUACAAAGAAGGAAGUUGCAGCCCAGGGUGAAGUUCCUAAGGAAGAUGAAGCAGCAGGUAGAAGACCCAGAUGUCCAGGACAGGAAGGAGAUGGACUCUAUCAAUCAGGUUCCUGAAAGAGUCGCUUUGAACAGUUGCUGAUCUUCAUAAGGAGAAGAAAUUCCUCACUGGGAACUCCGUAGACUGAGGAAAUAACAGAUCAGGCCAAAAAGAAAAGAAUGUUCCUGGAACUGUGCUUGGUACCAGAGGAAGCAAAUACUAAUUAAAUAGUCCCUGACCACAAAGAGCUGACAGGCUACUAUGGGGAAACAAUGAGAAAUCAGAUAUAUAUUGUGUAUAUGAAAUAUAUGCAAAGAACA